GCCACGGGGCACAAGAGGAGAACUUUGACCCUACAGUGAUUAAGAAAGAAAAGCUGAACCUACCUAGUGAAAGGCAUAAGACACUCGGCCUUUCUGUCUUUGACGUUAAUGAGUUUGGCACAUGUAUCAGUGGAUUGGUGUGAGAGGACCAUAUGGUAUUGCUGCAACUGAGGAGGGAUUCCUUGUGGAAGUGGCUUACAUGACAGACUUGAAGGGUUGAACUUCAAGAGAUGGAAGUGGAGAUACUGGCUGAUAAGCAAAAGCUAAUGACAGG
rnacentral:lncRNA from 1 species